rnacentral:rRNA from 1 species
GACGAACGCUGGCGGCGCGCUUAACACAUGCAAGUCGAACGGAAAGGCCUGCUUUCCCUUGUGGAUUGCGGGUACUCGAGUGGCGAACGGGUGAGUAACACGUGCGUGAUCUGCCCCCAACUUGGGUAUAAGCCUGGGAAACUGGGUCUAAUUCCCGAUAGGACUGCAGGGUGGUGCCUGUGGUGGCAAACGAUUUUCUAGUGGUUGGGGAUGAGCUCGCGGCCUAUCAGCUUGUUGGUGGGGUAAUGGCCUACCAAGGCGGCGACGGGUAGCCGGCCUGAGAGGGUGGACGGCCACAUUGGGACUGAGAUACGGCCCAGACUCCUACGGGAGGCAGCAGUGGGGAAUAUUGCACAAUGGGCGGAAGCCUGAGGCAGCGACGCCGCGUGGGGGAUGACGGCCUUCGGGUUGUAAACUCCUUUCGACCGCGAGGAAGCCACCUGGUUGGAAGGGUGGUGACGGUAGUGGGAGAAGAAGCACCGGCUAACUACGUG